rnacentral:rRNA from 1 species
GUGCCAGCCGCUGCGGUAAGACAGAGGAUGCAAGCGUUAUCCGGAAUGAUUGGGCGUAAAGCGUCUGUAGGUGGCUUUUCAAGUCCGCCGUCAAAUCCCAGGGCUCAACCCUGGACAGGCGGUGGAAACUACCAAGCUGGAGUACGGUAGGGGCAGAGGGAAUUUCCGGUGGAGCGGUGAAAUGCGUAGAGAUCGGAAAGAACACCAAACGGCGAAAAGCACUCUGCUGGGCCGACACUGACACUGAGAGACGAAAGCUAGGGGAGCAAAUGGGAUUAGAUACCCCAGUAGUCCUAGCCGUAAACGAUGGAUACUAGGCGCUGUGCGUAUCGACCCGUGCAGUGCUGUAGCUAACGCGUUAAGUAUCCCGCCUGGGGAUACGUUCGCAAGAAUGAAACUCAAAGGAAUUGACGGGGCCCGCACAAGCGGUGGAGCAUGUGGUUUAAUUCGAUGCAAAGCGAAGAACUUACCGGGCUUGACAUGCCGCGAAUCCUCUUGAAAGAGAGGGUGCC